AUUCCUUCCUGGAGAAACCCAUGGACAGAGGAGCCUGGCGGUCUGUAGCCCAUGGGAUUGCAAGAGUCGGACACGAUUUAGGGACUAAACCACCACGCAGUCCUUAGGGGAAUGGAUCGGAUAAAAGAAAGACUGGUUCUGAGUGGGUUAUGAUAGACAGCACGAGAGAUGGAUGUGGUCAACAGGCUGGUCGGGGGUCACUGAACACCGUGUCCUGAGACGACAGGUCUUGUAGGUACAAGGACAGGGGUGGAGUUGAGAGGAAUAGCAGGGGAGGGGAAACACCGCGUCUCUGGAGGCUUCUCUCAGGAAGCAGAGUAAACAUCUGGCGGUCAUCAGGGAGAGCCUUUGGGUAAGGAGGAUGGACUGAGGCAAGUUCUGGAGGAGAUGAAAGCCUUAGACGAGCAAAACCUACCUGAUGUGUAAGUUGGAAUAACGCAAAGUCAGGAGGACGGGGUGAUUUGGUCCCAGCCAUCAAGUUUCGACACUGUCCUUUGCUAAGAAGUCAGCGCUGCGCCGGAGCCUGCCUGUGGACUGGUUCAAUGGUUACAAAAUGUCCCUUGCUACCUACAUGAGGUCAUUGGCAGGAGACCAAGGUUUGGACAUCACACAGGAUGUGAAACCUCCAAAAAGCCUAUAUAUAGAAGUGCGGUGUCUAAAAGACUACGGAGAAUUUGAAGUUGAAGAUGGUACUUCAGUGCUAUUAAAAAAAAAAAAAAAAAAAAACAUAGCCAGGGAUUUACUGUCUUAGGAUACUUUAACUUUUUAAGAGUGUCAAAUGAUGGAAAUGUUGGAAUCAGUAGUAAACUAAAUACCACCUUGCGAUGA